AGGUUUGGAAUAUGGAGGUUAAGGACUGGAGGAGAAGGUCUUAGAGAGAUGACCCACUGCCUCCUUUCUUGAUUUUGGCUUUUGCUGAGAGGCAGGGUAACUCUCCUGCCUCUGGAUUCUCCCUAUAUCCCAACUCCACUCUUUCCUUUUGAGACCUCAUUUGAGGAGAUUACUCCUUAGCCCUGGUCUGGAGCUAGCUCUCUUCCUUGGGGGGAAAGGAGGAAAACACAAAUUCCAAGUGCUUCCCUCCACAUGGGUGAGGAUAAAAUGGAGACCAGAUUCGGAUAAUGUGUAGCAGAAAAGGUGAAGAAACUGAAGCUAAGAGGGAAAGUAUCUUUCCAACUUCCAUAAUGCUAGACAUUCUCUAAGGAAGAUCCUACUAUCUCUUGGACUAUAUGCCAUAUUUCUGACUGAAAGACUUCCAAACCAUAAUGUCUCUUCAUGGACCUUCCCUCACUACUUUAGGUCUCCUUGCUUUAGAAAAUAUAGCUACCCAUGUGACCUUCUCAAGAUAGAACAUUCCUUUGUAGACCUACUCUCUUCUUUCAUUGGUGAGUUUCCUUGGAGACUGUUUUAUAGAGGUACCAAUUCCAC
rnacentral:lncRNA from 1 species